rnacentral:lncRNA from 1 species
AGACAGGGAGCCGGGCUCCGUGCCGUCCCCGGCGCUUUCGAAUCGCCCAGGGCUGCCGCCGCUCGGCGCCGCGCCGGCUCGCUGGGCUGCAAGAUUUGGGAAAGCAGCACGCGCCCUGCCGGCUCUCUCCGCUCUUCUCGCUUUCUCCCCUCCUUCCAUUUCCCUCUCGCUCUCCUUUACCUUCCUCCUCCCUCUCCCAGGUUUACCUUCCUGAGGCCAGUGGCUUUUUUCUCUGACAUGCCUUAGCGGCAGCCCGGGACACGCAGUGGCAGUGGCGGGCACAGGUUGGCGAGGGGCCGGGCGCGAUCGCAGGGUUCUCCCUUGGCGGCGGCGGCGGCGGCGGUGGCGGCGGCGGCGGCGGCAGUGGCGGCGGAGGGCGAGGCAGCUUCGCGCGGGCAGCAUCAGAACUGGUCGGUGAUUUAGGUAGUUUCCUGUUGUUGGGAUCCACCUUUCUCUCGACAGCACGACACUGCCUUCAUUACUUCAGUUGAAAUCGUCUCCAGGAGCCUCGACCCUGCCUCGUUCUCAGCUCUCUGCCAGACUGCUGGCCUCACCCCCCAUCUCCACCUGGCCAGGAGCAGGUACGGUCAGGUUAGCUGCUCCAUCGCGGACGCCAGGGGCGUGGUAGGAAUUCUGGGCCGCGGGCCAUUCAAGGUCAGGGGCGCACGCUUCCAUCCUGGGCCUCCCCGGCUCCAGGCCUCCGCCUGGCCAGGGACUCCGACAUUCUCUUGCAAGGCUGGGGUGCCUCUAGCCCCAACCCAGGGAACA